rnacentral:rRNA from 1 species
AAACCGCAUAGGGGUUAAACCCGAUGAACCUGAAUAUCUGAAAUGAGAAAUUCAAUACUAUUUUGUUUAAAUAUCUAUAUAUAUGUAUAGUUAUUAUUUUUUCGAAAAUAAUUUUAUCAUGUGUAUCAUAUUUUCUAAAUGGUAUGCACUUUUCUCAUAGUAAGACAUUGCAAUCUAUUAGUAUAUCUAAUUAAUAUAUAGAUGGUUUAUUAAACGGCUCAUAUAAUUUGUUUAUUCUAUCUGUAAUAUUUUUUAUUAAAUAUUAUAUGAAUAAUAUUAUUGUGAUGACCUAAUAAACAGCUGAUAGAUUUUAAAUAUAAAAAUCAUGCAAACAUAUUUAUUUAUGUGUUAUAUAUUAAUAUAAUAGCAUGUAUUUGAUUAGCAAUGCGAUAGAUUUAGGAUACCUUCGGGACCCGUCUUGAAACACGGACCAAGAAGUCUAACAUGUGUGUAAGUCAUUGGGUAUAUUGUUGAAACCUAAAGACAUUAUUAAAAUAACUAAUUUUUAAUUGGGAUUACAAAUAAUAUAAUCAAAUUUAUUUUUGAAUAUUAUUUCUCCAUCCCGGGGCGUUCCAUAUGAACA